rnacentral:rRNA from 1 species
AGAGUUUGAUCCUGGCUCAGGACGAACGCUGGCGGUGUGCUUCACACAUGCAAGUCGAGCGAAUGAAGAAGGUAGCUUACUACUUUUGGAUUUAGCGGCGGACGGGUGAGUAAUAUAUAGGAAUCUGCCCUAGAGCGGGGAACAACAGACCGAAAGGUUUGCUAAUGCCCCAUAGGUACGCAGUCUUCGGAUUGUUUAUUAAAGGAGUAAUCCACUCUAGGAUGAGCCUGUAUCCGAUUAGCUAGUUGGCGGGGUAAAGGCCCACCAAGGCUACGAUCGGUAGUUGGUCUGAGAGGAUGAUCAGCCACAAUGGGACUGAGACACGGCCCAUACUCCUACGGGAGGCAGCAGUGGGGAAUUUUACACAAUGGGGGAAACCCUGAUGUAGCGACACCGCGUGAACGAAGAAGCCUUUUGGGGUGUAAAGUUCUGUCGGCUGGAACGAAAAAAAUGACGGUACCAGCAAAGGAAGCAUCGGCUAACUACGUGCCAGCAGCCGCGGUAAGACGUAGGAUGCAAGCGUUGUCCGGAUUUAUUGGGCGUAAAGAGUUCGUAGGCGGUUAUUUAAGUCUGGUGUUAAAUACUGUGGCCCAACCACAGAACUGCAUUGGAUACUGGAUGACUUGAGUGCGGUAGAGGCGAGUGGAAUUCCCAGUGUAGCGGUGAAAUGCGUAGA